GCACCGUUUUGCAGUCCUCGAACGUGCCGCGGACCACGCGCAGGCUCGUGAAGUACACCACUACGCGCUGCUCCGAGCGAGGGAUGGAGGGCAGGGGUUGCGGCUGGGAGGCGCGUGGGACUUCGUCGGAGGCGCGUGAGGUAAGUUUGGGGUGAUUUGACCAUGCUCGGAGGAGCUUGUUGGCGAGUGUGACCCGGUGGAAAAUUGAGGGUUUGGGUUUGGUGGUGGAGGGUUCAUCUAAUAUUAGGGUUUGAAUGUCUUUGAAGGAAGAACAUGAAAAGGAUGAGGAACGUGGUUUGUUCCAAGGUUGCCACAUUGAAAGUGGAAACUAGAAUAGAAGAAAGGUUGGUUUUUUUUAAUUAGGGUUGUGUUUUUUGUGGAGUUUGAAGGGGAAAGGUGGGGUUUUGGGAGGAAGGAAGAAGUGGGGGUGUUGGAUUUUGUUUUGUUUGUUUGUUUGGGAAAAAGGGUAGGAUUUAGUUGCUCAAAAGUUUGGAUUUUGGUGAAUGGGGAAGGAGAUGGAGAGGUGAGAGACUUUGCAUUUUGUUCCUUAGGAGAGAGAAAGAAGAGGAAGAGUAGAGAGGGAGAUUGUGGUGGUGGUUAAGGUAGUUGAGAGGUUGGUUUAUUUUGCUUUUAGGAGAGGGUUAAGAGGGAAAAGGAGAUCCAUUGUUAGAUAUUACUAUUAGGAUGCUCUUAUUUAAUAUUUCUAUUAAUUUGAUUUAAUUAUGGUGGAAAAAUAUUAAAAAAAUUAAAGCAUAUCCUAAUUAGAGUUACUAGUGAGAAGAGAACACCUGUUGCAGAAGCAGUUAAGUCGUUGUCACAUCAAUAAGUAUGAGAGUACAUGUAGAGUUACUCCCUCUGAGGAACUUCCAUUUAUAUUAUUAUUACCACCUUCACUUUUCAUAAGCUUUUUAUCCAUAAUAGUGAAAUUGAGAAAUCAAUCAACAUGGCAGUAAAUUUUAAUAGCAUCAUUAGAAAAUUGAUUUAUAUGUAGAAAAGUAAUAAUAAGUGAUGUUUUGUUUUGAAUUGUAUUAAUUGCAGAGAUGAAGAAGACUUGGUUGCAGCAUCCUCUCUACCAGCAGACACUGGCAGUGCAACCAACACCAAUUACGACAGCUUUGAUGUUCCCUUUUCUUAUCAGAUCUCUUUUUAUUGUCCUAACUUUCAAUCAGAGAACAUAAAUACUGCAAAAAUAACUCACUCUUUACCAACCAUAUACAUAAAUUAAACACUGU
rnacentral:lncRNA from 1 species